rnacentral:rRNA from 1 species
GACAGAGGUGCCAAGCGGUUAUCCGGAAUUAUUGGGCGUAAAGAGCUCGUAGGCGGUUUGUCGCGUCUGCCGUGAAAGUCCGGGGCUCAACUCCGGGAUCUGCGGUGGGUACGGGCAGACUAGAGUGAUGUAGGGGAGACUGGAAUUCCUGGUGUAGCGGUGAAAUGCGCAGAUAUCAGGAGGAACACCGGUGGCGAAGGCGGGUCUCUGGGCAGUAACUGACGCUGAGGAGCGAAAGCGUGGGUAGCAAACAGG